rnacentral:piRNA from 1 species
UAAGUAGUUUAGUGUCUGAAUGGAUGGAAUU